AACGAACGCUGGCGGCGCGUUUUAAGCAUGCAAGUCGAACGGUAGAGGAACUUCGGUUUCUUGAGAGUGGCGAACGGGUGAGUAACACGUAGAUGAUCUGCCUUGAAGUUGGGGAUAGCCUAUAGAAAUAUGGGGUAAUACCGGAUAAUACCUUAGAACUCUGGUUUUUGGUGAAAGGGGCUUCGGCCUCGCUUUAAGAUGAGUCUGCGGCUUAUUAGCUAGUUGGUAGGGUAAAGGCCUACCAAGGCGACGAUAAGUAGCCGGCCUGAGAGGGUGACCGGCCACAUUGGGACUGAGACGCGGCCCAA
rnacentral:rRNA from 1 species